AUACAGUACAUAGCAAAAUAGGUAGCUAUUAGAUGGUUCUUUGGAUCAUACUGUGGGAACCUAUGGUGAUGCUAAACCAUCCACAUAAUUACAUUCCUUAUACUACAAAACUCUUGUCUGAAAGAAACUGACAGCGCAUUUCAUACACAUAAUACAUUAGAUAAAUGUAUACUGAAAGAUCCAGUCUUAGAGCAGUGCAGCUGGAGCAGAUCAAUCCAUCUGACAAGAGAACGGUUGUUGACACAUGGAGGUAUGCUUAUACAGCACACCUGCUUCCUCUCUUCUUCCCUAUAGCCCUGAGCCAAACACCAGGUCUUCACCUAGCCCUGUAACAGCUGAGUUAAAUUCUAGUAUGAUCCAUGAGCAGUGAUUCAGACAUCACAAGCUUGAAGCUGGAGGCCACCACUCACAGGUGAUUCCGUGCUGGAAGCCCACUUACCUACAGUUCUUCUUGGAAGUGAAAAAGGAAAAUGCUCUAAAGGGUUGUGGGAAAGGAAGAUAAGUUAAUCAGAAAGAUUUGAGGACAUCAUCAUUUCUCCUUCUUAACAUCCCUCAGGGGUGGGGAAACGGAAGAGUUGGCAAAGGAUGCUCUUUCAGGGCCCUAACCUCCAAUCCCAGACAUUCAUAUCAUACCAAAGUGCAAUAAGUGGGAUUUGCUGUAUUUGAGUCUAUCGAAAUGAAGUGUCUCACCUGUAACCCUUAUCUAGGCUCAGUAUAAAGGAACACAUUCAGAAGGCAUUCAUCCCAACUUCCUUAGAUUUUUCCUUAGAACAGGAUAGGUUAGGAUCUCCCUCAAAACUUAACUCUUCUUCCCUACUGAGGAAGCCUAAACCACUGAUUUAUUAGAUGAUGUAAAGCUGCUUGUGAUGAAUUCUGUAUGUCUGUUUUGUAAGUUCAUUUAGGCUCAAACUACUAUAUUCCAGGUAAAUGUUGUGGAAAGAAGAGAUAAUGUUCAUAACAGAAAUAUAUAUGAUCUUAUAAACAGUUUUUAGAGGCAACUGAAUAAUAAAGUUGGGCUAAGGCAUUUGAUGAUAGGAAAAGCAGCUCAUUCCAUUUAUUUCAGUUCUUUAAAUAUUAUUGUUAAACAAGAAAAUCAGAAUGUCAUGGCAUAACACAGACAAUGUGAAAUAACUAACUUUUGAUUACCACUUAUUUGUUUGAUUAUUCCUCUGUAAGAGUUUGAAAGGGUUUUAAGAAGCAAAUUUCUUGCUUCUAACUGUUCAGAGAUGUCACUGUGAAAACAGGCAGAGAUGAACUGGAUAGAACAAUAAUUCUCUCCAAUGCCACACAAAACAAAGCAGAACUUGAGAAUUUCUGUGUAUUUUAUUUGCCUUUUUAAACAUACAUUUGUGGACUCCUACCUUCCUAGUUUUGACUAAGUUCAGGAAAAAGGUCUGAAAACUCAAAUGAUAAGGAGGUCUUGCUUCCUUUUCUUCCUAUCUGGACACAAAGCAGCUGAUGUAUUUAUUAGGUAGUCACUGCCUAAACACUAUCUAUGCCAGUUUUGGAGGCCAAAGACAUUUCAGUAUGUUGAGGAGAAUUUGAAAUUAUGAACAUUUAUGUUCAGCCUGAGCCAGUGUAAACUCCUAACCUUUAGAGGCUUGUCACCUUGCCACCAGAACAUGAUCUGCAAUCUAGCCAUGUGGAUCCAGUUCCAGUGUAAGAAACACAGUGUAUUUGGCUGAAAUGUUUGCCCCAUGACACAAGUCAAUGAACCCACUGAUUAGGACACAGACAGAAGAGCUUCGGGAUUAGAAAUGGUCCUCAAAAAAAGGUCAAGAAGCAAAAAACAACUGGAUCCAAUUUUCAGAAAAGUUUGCCUCACAGAUAUGGUAAUAUGUCAUGACUACCUAUCCCUGAGAUAUACAGAUGUUAUUUCUGACUGCAGUAAUACUUUCUACUAUAGCUUAUUAUAUUUAAAUAUUUAGAAGUCCAGUUUUGUAUAGUAUGGUAUGGCAU